rnacentral:RNase_P_RNA from 3 species
UGGGUUGACUAGACAAUCGCUUAGGCACUGAAUGUGAAAUAUCGUUUAGCGACUAAGAGGAAAGUCCGGACUCCAUAGGACAAAGAGCCAGAUAACAUCUGGGAGGUGCAAACCUACGGAAAGUGCCACAGAAAAUAUACCGCCUUGCUACCAAUAUUUGGUGGCAAGGUAAGGGUGAAAAGGCGUGGUAAAAGCACACCGCAUUGUUGGUAACAACAAUGGCACGGCAAACCCCUCUUGGAGCAAGACCAAAUAGGAAUCUUCGUAGGAUUUUUUUCCUACAUAUGUGGUCCACAUAUAGAUUCGGGUAGGUCGCUUGAGGUGUAUGGUGACAUACAUCCCAGAGAAAUGAUUGUCCACGACAGAAUCCGGCUUACUGUCAACCCUCAAA